rnacentral:rRNA from 1 species
AACCACUGGAACGGUGGCUAAUACCGGAUGUGCCGGAAGGUAAAAGAUUUAUUGCCUAGAGAUGAGCUCGCGUCUGAUUAGCUAGUUGGUGUGGUAAGAGCGCACCAAGGCGACGAUCAGUAGCUGGUCUGAGAGGAUGAUCAGCCACACUGGGACUGAGACACGGCCCAGACUCCUACGGGAGGCAGCAGUGGGGAAUUUUCCGCAAUGGGCGAAAGCCUGACGGAGCAAUACCGCGUGAGGGAGGAAGGCUCUUGGGUUGUAAACCUCUUUUCUCAAGGAAUAAGAAAGUGAAGGUACUUGAGGAAUAAGCAUCGGCUAACUCCGUGCCAGCAGCCGCGGUAAUACGGAGGAUGCAAGCGUUAUCCGGAAUGAUUGGGCGUAAAGGGUCCGCAGGUGGCAUUGAAAGUCUGCUGUUAAAGAGUGAGGCUUAACCUCAUAAAAGCAGUGGAAACUACAAAGCUAGAGUGCGUUCGGGGUAGCAGGAAUUCCUGGUGUAGCGGUGAAAUGCGUAGAGAUCAGGAAGAACACCGGUGGCGAAAGCGUGCUACUAGGCCGUAACUGACACUGAGGGACGAAAGCUAGGGGAGCGAAAGGGAUUAGAUACCCCUUGUAGUCAAAA